UAUUGUGAACAGUAAUAUAUUUUCGCUAGGCACACUCGGAUGGCCCACUUUUUUAUCCUGUUGUAACUACUAUUAGUUGUGGUGCCCAUACACUCCUUGACUUUUACAAACGGCUCGACACAACAGAGCAACAACAGCCCAAGUUAGAAUUCAGUUUAUUAUUAGAACGUAGAAGUUUAUUGGUUCUACAAAAGGACUUGUAUCACAAUUAUUUGCACUCUAUAGCAGAAAGAGAUGUGGAUAGUAUAUCAGAAUCUUCAAUAAAAAAUCUACAUAUGUGUGCAGGAAAGUUUAUAGAAGGAGAAAUAAUAAAACGUGAUACUAGACUGUCUUUAACUAUUAGACACGUACCAAAAACUAGCAAACUAAAAUUAAAGAUUUUUUGAUACAUUUUGAUAUAUUAUUGAAAUUUGAGGAAAAUACAAUUACAUUGAACGAUACUGAAAAUAAA